rnacentral:rRNA from 1 species
GACGAACGCUGGCGGCGUGCUUAACACAUGCAAGUCGAACGGAAAGGCCCUGCUUUUGUGGGGUGCUCGAGUGGCGAACGGGUGAGUAACACGUGAGUAACCUGCCCUUGACUUUGGGAUAACUUCAGGAAACUGGGGCUAAUACCGGAUAGGAGCGCCUGCUGCAUGGUGGGGGUUGGAAAGUUUCGGCGGUUGGGGAUGGACUCGCGGCUUAUCAGCUUGUCGGUGGGGUAGUGGCUUACCAAGGCUUUGACGGGUAGCCGGCCUGAGAGGGUGACCGGCCACAUUGGGACUGAGAUACGGCCCAGACUCCUACGGGAGGCAGCAGUGGGGAAUAUUGCACAAUGGGCGGAAGCCUGAUGCAGCAACGCCGCGUGCGGGAUGACGGCCUUCGGGUUGUAAACCGCUUUCGCCUGUGACGAAGCGUGAGUGACGGUAAUGGGUAAAGAAGCACCGGCUAACUACGUG